GGCCGCGGGGAGGGCGGGGAGGACAGAUCUGUGCGCCGAAUCGAGGGCUGCGCGCCUAGGAACAAACGCCGGACAGAGGCAACUGCUCCCUACUCGCGGCUGGAGCAGAAUCUCUUGUUGGUUGGAGAGCAACUGGACCUCUGUGCUCGUGACAGAUUAUACUUGGACUUUCAGAAGCAGUUGGACCACCAUAUAGCUCUUGCUGGGACUAACAUCAUGGGGGCUCAUCCUGGAUUUGGGGGUACUGAGGAGAACUCUGGACACUGGCUAUCAGAGGACUCAUCUAAGCUCAGAAACUUGGACUGACGAAAAUUUGGACAGAGGACAGUUAAAAUUAGAACCGGCUGCAUGGCAGGUGACACCAAGCAGUGCGCUCUCCCUCCCUCCCGAGGGAGCCGAGGAGGGGUGGCUGGGGAGACCCAUGGAGCCGGCUGCCCCAGGGCUGGAGCUUGGGAGGUGCUUGGACACUUGAGUCUCUCCAAGCCCAGAGCUGUGGAAUAACAAUGCACACCCAGCAGGGUACUGGCUUGAUGCAGCCCCUUGUUGCAAUGGGCUCAAGCCAUUUGCAGUGGCUGAGGAGCACGGGGGAGGGGAGAAGCCUGGCCUGGAAGCAGGUUCAGGACCUGUGGGGGAGGUAAGCUAGAGUGAAGCUCACAAGGGAGCCAAGGGAGCACGCAAGGCUUGUGGGCUCGCUUGGUGGAAGACCUUACACAUGGUUAGGCGGGGAAAAGCACCUUAGCUGCUCUGUGACAGGAGCUGCUGUGGCGCUGAGAGUGAGGAAAAACUCCUCCCUCCUGCCUCCAUGCCAGCUCAGCAGGGAAGUGAGUGGUAGGAGCUCACCACACCCUCUUGCUCUUUUCCCUCCUCUCACCUAGGGAGCUUAAAUCAAUUGCAACUUGCAGACCAUGCAGAGAUGUAGGAAGAAAAUUGCACUUGCUGUAAUGUUUAGAAUUAUAGCUGAGUCUAAAUAAAAAAAGUUUUAUUUGUUUAAAUAUGUGGCCAUUAUAUAAUCAUUUUCAACUUGUCUUAAAGGGUUGAUAUGAUCAAAAAUAAUUGGGAAUGUUUUAAGGUUAAAUUCAAAUUCUUGUUUA